GAGUUGGUAGCUCAGCGGUAGAGUGCAUGCUUUGUAUUUAUGAUGUCCUGGGUUCAACCCCCAGGUUGUCUUA